UAGUAAUCGUGGAUCAGCAUGCCACGGUGAAUACGUUCCCGGGUCUUGUACACACCGCCCGUCACACCAUGGGAGCCGGUAACACCCGAAGUCAGUAGUCUAACCGCAAGGAGGACGCUGCCGAAGGUGGGAUUGACGACUGGGGUGAAGUCGUAACAAGGUACC
rnacentral:rRNA from 1 species